GCAUCGGUGGCUUAGUGGUAGAAUGCAGGCCUGCCACGCGGGCGGCCCGGGUUCGAUUCCCGGCCGAUGCA
rnacentral:tRNA from 1 species